AGAGUUUUGGCCUCAGCCGUUUGACUCUAAUCAGGAAAUCAUUUUUAGAAAGAUUUGUCAGUGUAAGAAAACAAGCUCCUGAACUAAAUUAGGAUCUGGAUUAUUUUUCCCUCCUCUCUCGAUCUGCAGUGCAAGGCAGAGUGGUGAGCCAUCACGGUUUUGUGUGUGGUGAAUUUGUUUCCACUGCACAUUUUAAUUCGGAGCUCCUGAAGGUGUCUGUGUUUGUAAGGACUGUGUUUUUGGAGCUGCUCCCUCGGAGGUUUGGUGCUUGUUUCUCCUUCCCUCAAACUGGUUGGCUUUUUUGGCAAGACCGCCUAGGCUUCAGGAUUCUUUAGUCUAAUUUUCUUCUCCUUUUUCUUUUUUUUUCACCCCAGUAAUGAAUUCACGGCAUGUCUCUGGGAAAUUAAGGUUUCUUUUCUGGGAGCUGCUAUCACUGAAUACAUAAAGAAAUUGAGCCUAUAUGAUUUCAAUCUUCACCUUCUGAUGCUGAUGAAACAGGAUUCUAUGCAGAGAAAAUCCUCUCCAGUCAAGUAAUUGCAUCCAUUUCAUCUUCCCAGCCCUCCUCUAGAUGGGAGGUGGAGGUGUGUGUACCAAUCUCUUAAUUCAGAAAUGAGACAAGAGGAGGAAAAAGGAGUUCCGGAGGACAGUGGGGACCCCAGCCAGAGCCUGGGGACUUGGCUGCCUUGGAACCAGAACCUGGCCCCUCAGAGGAGUUGCAGAAUUUCGAUAGAGGAGUGGCAGGAGGUGUACUGGCUGAAGAGGAGGCCCAAGGAACUCCUUUUCAUACAUCAAAACUGAGCUUAUCACCUCUACCCUGAAGUCAUCCUGGACAUCACUGGUCCCAGUUAAUCACUCACUUAUCUUUGCCAUCCUUGACCUGGUGAGUACAGUCUUUAUACCAUUUAUCAAUUAGUUAUAAUAUAUUUAUCAAUUUGUUAUAAUUGGAGAGUUGUAAAGGAUAUUAACCAGGCCCAGUUCAGGCAGUUUACAGGUGUGUGGGCACCCCGUCUGCUAUAGAUCUUUUGGUCCUAGAUUUCUAUAGCACAACGCUUAUCACUUAUUAAGUACUAAAGUUUCUGAUUUUUAUAAACGGAACUGAAAUGAAUCCCAAUUACUGACCUGUGGGACUCCCAGCCCUUUGACAUCUUGGUCCUGCCCAAAGUCAGGAGUACAUUUCCAGAGGGCUCUGCAGUGGGAAAUAGUGGUGGGAGUCUGUGUGUAUUCAGCUCGAUGCAUGCCCUAUGUUAGGUGUUUUCCCUUUUGCAGGCUGGAGUGAGCCCUUGAGCUGACCCAGAAGUUCUGAGCAUUUAUCACCCAGUAUUGAUGACCAUGUAUUUUGCCUCCUCUCUUUAUGCCUAAAGAUGAAGGAAGAAAUACAAGCUCAUGUUACAAAGAGUAUUUCCUGGGUUUAUCAGCUCUCCCCCUCUCAGCUUGAGCUCUGAAUGAUUUCUUAGUUCUCAGCUUUUCUUCCUCUGAUCAAAGUGCCUGAGGCAGUGAGCACUGGGAGGGCAGGAGCAUUUCUGGCUGAGCCCAAUGCUCACCUCUUCUGGGCCGUUUUAGGAAGCUGUGGCCCAGUGUUCUCUGGUCAGACAAGCAUGGCCUGGCUGUGGAAGGGUCUCCAAAGGCUCAUGGGUCCCAGGUGCCCUGGAUUUUGAAGGCAGCUGCCCUGCCUCCACUGGGAGAAGAUUAAAGCCCCCUUUGCCUUUCUUCGUCCCUCCCUUUCCCACUCUGUUCACUCAAUCACUCUUUUCUCUCCAAUGAAUUAAAUGCAGAAAAUCCAUGAGCAGGAUUUCUCUCUUCAAAGGACCAAAUAACCUUCUUUCUAUUCCCCCUAAAUUUUUUUCCAAACUGCAAAAAGAAAACAUGCAAACAGACUUCAAGUUAAAGGUGAGAGAAAGAAAGAAAAAUUGAAGCAAAGUAAUUUUAACUUGAGAAGUAGAGCAGUUUAAACCCAGAAAAAAAAUGUACACUCCGCAAUAUAGUCCUUUCCUACAAAUUAAUUAACCCAAAGUACUUGUUUAAUUAGUGUGAGGGGUAGGGAAUUGAGUAGCUAACAAUAUCUCUCACCCAGUUUAGAAUUAUGUUCACAAAAGAAUUUCUUCUUCUUUUCCUGAAAGGGAAGAGAACGUUGCCCUCAUUGGUCUGGAAUCAGCAGGUACCUCAUGGCUGGAGGUGUAUUUUCAGGUGGGUUGGGACUUUGAAGAGGUGGCUUUUCCUAUGGACCCCUCUGACUCCCCACCUGUGGGCAUGACACAGGUGACCUGGCUGCCAGGGCAGAGGCUGCUUAGCCCUGCUCCAGAGAAACAGAGCUCUGAGGGCUUCCAGAAACCAGGGCUCCUGGCUCCUCAGUCCUUCCCACUCCUCUCUUCCUACUCCCGUGCUGCAUAUAAACUUUUCUUUUUUUUUCAGAUGGAGUCUCACUCUGUCACUCAGGCUGGAGUGCAGUGGUGCGAUCUCAGCUUACUGCAACCUCCGCCUCCCGGGUUCAAGUGAUUCUCCUGCCUCAGCUUCCCCAGUAGCAGGGACUACAGGACCACAGGUGUAUGCCAUUAUGCUCGGCUAAUUUUUGUAUUUUUAGUAGAGACAGGGUCUCACCAUGUUGGCCAGGCUGGUCUCGAGCUCCUGACCUCAGGUGAUCACACGCCUUGGCCUCCCAAAAUGCUGGGAUUACAGGCAUGAGCCACUGCACUUGGCCUGCAUAUAAACUUUUUGAGUUUCCUGCUUUUGACAUGAGCAUGGAUAUUUAUCACUUCUAGAGGCAUUAGGAGAACUCAAGUCCAAGUGCUCAGAGACCUACAGUGCAGCUUAAGACCCUGUCACAGGAAUCUUCGGGGUGGGGGCAUGCACGGGAGUUAUAGAGAGUUGGGGAAGGAUGAGUUCUCAACCAAUGCUUUCCUUUUUUCCACAGACUCCUUUGGCAUCUGGUGAGGCCUGUGGAUUCAUUCUCAGAAUCACAUUUUUAAAUGCACAUAAUAAAAUACAUAGAAUUGCAAAGGAAGUUAAUUAUAUUGAAAUACAGUUAUCAAAAAUAUAAAUAAAACAAGUAUGUGGUACAGUCAUAUGUGUGCUUCUUUAUUAAGUCAUUACAAAGCAAGAUCUAUUUGGAGGUCUAAUAACUGUCAUAUGCUUGAAAAAAUCCUUAACAAUCAUAAUAUAUUAAAAAAUCUGAUUUCUACUUUGGCAAAUCAUAGAUAUUGCUGAAACUGUGGUUUAUUGCCUGCAUUCAUAAUUGAAGGAAAUGCUAGAGUUCAGUGAGAAGGUUGUGAAAAUAAAGAGAGCCUUUUUUUCUCAUCAAG
rnacentral:lncRNA from 10 species